CUUGUAAUCAAACAUAAAAGUGAAGACAGAGGAAAUCUUUUCAUAAGGAAAAUGCAAGUAUUUAGUAAGGAGUCCCUGUCUGAACUUCAAAUGAAAACAUAUAGAUGUCUUAUUUGUCAUGCAACUGUUGCCUCCUCCUAAUUUUCAACACCACUGAAAUAUACAGACAUUUCUCUACCUAUCCAGGCAACCAAGGCUUCUGAUGGAUCAUGCAACAGACCCACAGGAACAACCCCCAGCCUCCUCUGAUACCUAUCCAUCAAUCACCAGUGCAUGGAUCAAUC